rnacentral:tRNA from 1 species
GCCUGUAUAGCUCAGUGGUUGAGCACCGGCCUAUGAAGCAGGAGGUCACAGGUAGAUUCCGGGUCAGGGCA